GGACGGGGCUUACCAGCAGUUGACGUUGAGGAUGGAGCCUGGCUCCCGUAGGAGUCCGGGCGGAGUCUACUUGAGGUCGAAGUUGUCGGCGGAGUCCGGCUUCCGUAGGAGUCCGGACGAAGUCUGUCUGCAGCCGUUGGAGUCGAGGAUGAAGCCCGACUCUCGUAGGAGUCCGGGUGGAGUCUUCCUGUAAUUAAAGUUAAAGGCGAAGUCCGGCUCCCGUAGGAGUCCGGACGGGGCUUACCAGCAGUUGACGUUGAGGAUGGAGCCCGGCUCCCGUAGGAGUCCGGGCGGAGUCUACUUGAGGUCGA
rnacentral:lncRNA from 1 species